rnacentral:tRNA from 1 species
GGGCACUUAGCUCAGUAGGUAGAGCGCUUGACUUUUAAUCAGGAUGUCACAGGUUCGAUCCCUGUAGUGCCCACCA